AGUGAACGCUGGCGGUAGGCCUAACACAUGCAAGUCGAACGGCAGCACAGUAAGAGCUUGCUCUUACGGGUGGCGAGUGACGGACGGGUGAGGAAUACAUCGGAAUCUACUUUUUCGUGGGGGAUAACGUAGGGAAACUUACGCUAAUACCGCAUACGACCUACGGGUGAAAGCAGGGGAUCUUCGGACCUUGCGCGAUUGAAUGAGCCGAUGUCGGAUUAGCUAGUUGGCGGGGUAAAGGCCCCCCAAGGCGACGAUCCGUAGCUGGUCUGAGAGGAUGAUCAGCCACACUGGAACUGAGACACGGUCCAGACUCCUACGGGAGGCAGCAGUGGGGAAUAUUGGACAAUGGGCGCAAGCCUGAUCCAGCCAUACCGCGUGGGUGAAGAAGGCCUUCGGGUUGUAAAGCCCUUUUGUUGGGAAAGAAAAGCAGCAGGUUAAUACCCCGCUGUUCUGACGGUACCCAAAGAAUAAGCACCGGCUAACUUCGUG
rnacentral:rRNA from 1 species